rnacentral:misc_RNA from 1 species
AAGUCGUAACAAGGUUUCCGUAGGUGAACCUGCGGAAGGAUCAUUAACAAUGAUACACCCAUGUAUGUGAACCAAACGCUUUCCGCUGGUAGGAGGGCAACCAUCUCUUGGUGGUUGCCGCCUAUCAGAUUUUGAUACCACCUCUUCUAUUAUCCUUCUGACAUUAUGCCUAUGAAUUAUCCAUACAACUUUUAGCAACGGAUCUCUAGGCUCUC